rnacentral:rRNA from 1 species
UUUGAUGUUCUAACGUUGACCCGUAAUCCGGGUUGCGGACAGUGUCUGGUGGGUAGUUUGACUGGGGCGGUCUCCUCCUAAAGAGUAACGGAGGAGCACGAAGGUUGGCUAAUCCUGGUCGGACAUCAGGAGGUUAGUGCAAUGGCAUAAGCCAGCUUGACUGCGAGCGUGACGGCGCGAGCAGGUGCGAAAGCAGGUCAUAGUGAUCCGGUGGUUCUGAAUGGAAGGGCCAUCGCUCAACGGAUAAAAGGUACUCCGGGGAUAACAGGCUGAUACCGCCCAAGAGUUCAUAUCGACGGCGGUGUUUGGCACCUCGAUGUCGGCUCAUCACAUCCUGGGGCUGAAGUAGGUCCCAAGGGUAUGGCUGUUCGCCAUUUAAAGUGGUACGCGAGCUGGGUUUAGAACGUCGUGAGACAGUUCGGUCCCUAUCUGCCGUGGGCGCUGGAGAACUGAGGGGGGCUGCUCCUAGUACGAGAGGACCGGAGUGGACGCAUCACUGGUGUUCGGGUUGUCAUGCCAAUGGCACUGCCCGGUAGCUAAAUGCGGAAGAGAUAAGUGCUGAAAGCAUCUAAGCACGAAACUUGCCCCGAGAUGAGUUCUCCCUGACUCCUUGAGAGUCCUGAAGGAACGUUGAAGACGACGACGUUGAUAGGCCGGGUGUGUAAGCGCAGCGAUGCGUUGAGCUAACCGGUACUAAUGAACCGUGAGG